UGGCUCUGGCAUCGAUGAAGAACGCAGCGAAAUGCGAUAAGUAAUGUGAAUUGCAGAAUUCAGUGAAUCAUCGAAUCUUUGAACGCACAUUGCGCCCGCCAGCACUCUGGCGGGCAUGCCUGUCCGAGCGUCAUUUCACCCCUCAAGUCCACCCCCAGGGUGCUUGGUGUUGGGGGCCGGCCGGGAGAGCCCGCGCCGCCCCCGAAAUGCAGUGGCGACCCCGCCGCAGCCUCCCCUGCGCAGUAGCACACCUCGCACCGGAGCGCGGAGGCGGUCACGCCGUAAAACGCCCCAACUCUCACGAGUUGACCUCGGAUCAGGUAGGAGUACCCGCUGA
rnacentral:misc_RNA from 1 species